UACCUGAUAGCACAGUGGUUAGCGCGUCUGUAGCGUAAACUUCAUGUUGCGCUGUGCAGAGAAUCUUCGUUCGACUCGAGGUCAGGCCA